rnacentral:rRNA from 1 species
UACGUAGGGGGCAAGCAUUGUCCGGAUUUAUUGGGCGUAAAGAGCUCGUAGGUGGUUCAGUAAGUCAAGUGUGAAAAAUCUAGGCUCAACCUAGUGGAGCAUUUGAUACUGCUGUGACUCGAGUCCGGUAGAGGAGUGUGGAAUUCCUGGUGUAGCGGUGAAAUGCGCAGAUAUCAGGAGGAACACCGAUAGCGAAGGCAGCACUCUGGGCCGGUACUGACGCUGAGGAGCGAAAGCGUGGGUAGCAAACAGG